CAGCCGCCGCGGUAAUACCGGCGGCCCGAGUGGCGGUCACUAUUAUUGGGCUUAAAGCGUCCGUAGCCGGGUUGGGAAGUCCUCCGGGAAAUCUGGCCGCUUAACGGUCAGAAUGCCGGAGGAUACUCCCAGCCUAGGGAGCGGGAGAGGCCGAGGUAUUCCCGGAGUAGGGGUGAAAUCCUAUAAUCCCGGGAGGACCACCUGUGGCGAAGGCGCUCGGCUGGAACGCGUCCGACGGUGAGGGACGAAGGCCAGGGGAGCAAACCGGAUUAGAUACCCGGGUAGUCCUGGCUGUAAACGAUGCGGACUUUGUGUCGGACAAGCUAUGAGCUUGUCCGGUGCCGGAGGGAAACCGUUAAGUCCGCCGCCUGGGGAGUACGGCCGCAAGGCUGAAACUUAAAGGAAUUGGCGGG
rnacentral:rRNA from 1 species